rnacentral:rRNA from 1 species
UACGUAGGGGGCAAGCGUUAUCCGGAUUUACUGGGUGUAAAGGGAGCGUAGACGGCAGUGCAAGUCCGGAGUGAAAGCCCGGGGCUCAACCCUGGGACUGCUCUGGAAACUGUAAAGCUGGAGUGCGGGGGGGGCAGGCGGAAUUCGUGGUGUAGCGGUGAAAUGCUUAGAUAUCACGAAGAACUCCGAUUGCGAAGGCAGCCUGCUGGACUGUAACUGACGCUGAUGCUCGAAAGUGUGGGUAUCAAACAGG